UGCAGCUACGCGGUGAAGGCCAAGGUCCCGCGCGCCCAGGUCAAGGUCAUCGACGGCAAGGAUCACGUCACCAUUGUUGUCGGCCGGCAGAAGGACCUGGCCAGGGAGCUGGAGGAGAUAUGGGACAGGAAACGGUGAGAUUGCUGGGGGUAAAUUAUUUAUAGGACGAAAUCACAGGGAGUGUUUAAGAACGCACCUCAGAAUCAGGUUAGCAAAAGGGUGGGUCUUCGAAGAACACGGCACUGCAAUGAGCAACAGGUUUCUGAAGGGAGGCAACAGGAAGUGUACGGGCAGAAGGGCUCGAGAGAUGUGUGAAGGUUACCUAAUUACAUUUACCUUUUUUCUUUUCUUUUCCCCCCAUUGUAUUUUCUUCUCGUUCUCAAGUUUUCAUAUUGAAGGCUGAGAAAAUUCUUGCCUGGUCCUGUGUAUAAUUAUGAUAAAUGAUGAGUCGUUUUGGCUGUAAUCCAUGGACAGAAUGUGACUUAUGACACGAUCAAUUUGUGGAGCUUGUACCUUCUCUUCCCCUGUUUUCUUCACCGUGCAUUCCUGUAACAUUGUAUUAUAAUCGAAAAUGAAAAUACGAUAUGAAUCACUGGAAUAAAGCUAGAAUUGAAGAGGGGUAUCUGAUUUCUUACAUGUUCGCUUCCUCCGCUGGCCACCACCCUAUGAAAGAACCUAAUCAAUGUGAAGUGGAUCAAAGGAACCAUGGGGAGAUUGAACACUCACUUUAUUCCCAUGUCGUGGCUGCCAGUGGUCAGUCCAACUCAAAUCUGGACCCGGAGAAAUAGUUUCCGCGUCAACCUGCAGAGAGAUUCAGAGCAAAUGUCACCACACCAUACCUUACUGUACCCUGUGGACUUAGAAAUGCAUUGUCGCCUGUUCCCAUAAAUGGUGCAUAACUGCAUAUAAAAUUACGAAUGGACCCAACAUGUUAAAAGAAAAACAAAAAACAACUCACCGCACAGCAAAAUCAAUAUAACUGCCCAACUCCUCCCCAUCAACUGUUCAUCCGGCUUUCUGAUCUUUACCUGAUGGAGAUCAUAAGGAGCUGCCACAGAAGGACGAUAAAGAUAAAAGACGCAGAUACACUGUCCCCCAACUAGGGCCACAGCUUGCUGUACUUGGGCAGAGUUAUUACAGCUACCACUGCCUGCCUGCACAACAAAACGGCUCAAUCUAACAGCAACCAUUCACUCUGGCCCAAGGUUUUUGUUUGAAACAUCGAGUAAUGGCACUAUCUCCAGCUGCUUAAUUUACUCUGUAAUCAGUGUUGUAAAGGCUGGCUGAUGCAAUGCAGCCAUGCAAGAUCUCAUGAUGUGCUACAGUGAGCUGAAGCCUGCUCAUUCAAUACAAGUGCUCCCCGUUUGAGGUGUUCCAUCAAUCCUCCCGUGCCCACCAUCCCCAAGCAAGCAGCGGACCACAGCCCGGGAUGGUGGCCGCGUGUGCGAUCUGGGUUCCUUCCUGUUCCUGUUCAAGAACUGCCUGGACAAAACGACCCCGCAUGAGAAACAACAAGCAUGAAAGUGAGCAAUGCUGUAGCCAUGCCCCCAGCCCGGCUAGGCUUGUUGGGACUUGGGAGUGGUAAAAAUUGAGAUCCGUUCAUGCCACUUGCAGCACCUACCUCAGUAUACUUGUCAAACCAGUCAUGUGUCGAUUUUGCAUC
rnacentral:lncRNA from 1 species